GUCCUUAUAGCUCAGUUGGGAGAGCGCCAGACUGAAGCAAUCGGAAUCCGUUCUGCAUACUUUGGUUUUUCUAAUCAAGAACAUCUGGAGGUCGCCCGUUCAAUCCGGGCUGAGGACA